CUCUAAGCCUUUUCCCCCCUGCCUGCAAGUACCUCCUCAUUUUUAGAGUCAAUCAUUAAGUACUGUUGUCUUGCUUCUGCCAGGAGCACCCCUUGCUGUGUGCUGGGAAGGGGUGCAGCACAUGCAGCUGUACAGAGGAGCUGUGGUGCUGAGCAAGGACAAUCUGAAGAGGAAAGGAAAGCCACAAUAUUGUUCAACACUGGCCUGAGACAGUUCAUGUUGGAUUAAUUGGAGAGGAAGAGAAUUGUUUAGCCUAAGUUCAUAAGGACCACAAAAUAACAGAACACCUGGAGAUAUAGGGCAUUCUAGAUGACAGUGCCAUUUUGAACACAUGCUACAAUCAUUUCUGCCUUUUUGAGUAUACUCAUGCAAGCCUCAGAAGGGACAUUGUUAAGAAAUUCACUUACACUGGAGUGAGGUGAUGUUAUGACCAUGUCACUCUUCAGCUCCUGCAUGGUGCACCAGGUAGUCUUCACACAACUGUUCUGCAGGGACAGGGCUGCAGCAGCAGCAGAUCUGGUGUCCAGGGACUCAGUGCCAGCUCUGGAGUAAGCAGCUCAUAAGGCAGCAUCACCAUGUCAUUUAUGGAAAGGUUUUUCUCUAAAACAUUUGAGAGAUACAUACAACAUUUUGGACAGUAGCACCACAUUUAGGCCUGAAGUUAAUGGGUGCUGUCAUGGCUCAGCAUCCCCGAAAAGCAGCAGGUUGAGGAAGCUACUGAUGGGCUUUGGUACUAGCUGGUUUACAAAAACUUGCCCUGUUUGAAAUAGC